CUGCAGUCCCUUUAAACCCGCCCCAUCCCGUGACUCUGCAAUUCGUGUCCUUCACGUAUAAACCCUUCACACAUCCCUGCAGCUGGAGCCUCCUCACCCUCAGGGAACACGCGGCUGUUUCCCCCUGCCGAGCACCGGGGCCGCCAUGGCGGCCGAGCCCUGAGGCAGCGGGGCCGGGGCCGCGCCAUCUUGUCGGGGGCGGAGGAAGAGCCCGUCCCGCCCCGUGCUCUGCCUGCCGGGGCCGCCCGGCCCCGCCGCACUCGCCGCGGAGACCGAGCGGAGCGGAGCCGCAGCCCCCAGCGCCAUUGCCGCCCUCAGCCCGCCAUGGCAGGACUUUUCAGCUCCCGAGGAGCUGGAUUUGCUCUGGAGGGCUGUAAAAACUGACUCAUGUGGUGGGAGCUGAUAAGGAGUGAUCUCUGAGAGAGCUUCAGGCAGCAGCAGAGUUAUCUUCACCUCUCUGGCACUCCUGAUUGCAGAAUCAAAGCAUUCCCGAGCCCUCUGAUGGUCCUCUGCGCCAUUCCGUGCAGUUUUCAUUGCUGGGGAGCAGC
rnacentral:lncRNA from 1 species